rnacentral:rRNA from 1 species
AUUGAACGCUGGCGGCAGGCCUAACACAUGCAAGUCGAGCGGCAGCGGGAGGAAGCUUGCUUCCUCGCCGGCGAGCGGCGGACGGGUGAGUAAUGUCUGGGGAUCUGCCCGAUGGAGGGGGAUAACCACUGGAAACGGUGGCUAAUACCGCAUAACGUCGCAAGACCAAAGUGGGGGACCUUCGGGCCUCACACCAUCGGAUGAACCCAGAUGGGAUCAGCUAGUAGGUGGGGUAAUGGCUCACCUAGGCGACGAUCCCUAGCUGGUCUGAGGGGGUGACCAGCCACACUGGAACUGAGACACGGUCCAGACUCCUACGGGAGGCAGCAGUGGGGAAUAUUGCACAAUGGGCGAAAGCCUGAUGCAGCCAUGCCGCGUGUGUGAAGAAGGCCUUCGGGUUGUAAAGCACUUUCAGCGGGGAGGAAGGUGGUGAGCUUAAUACGCUCAUCAAUUGACGUUACUCGCAGAAGAAGCACCGGCUAACUCCGUGCCAGCAGCCGCAGUAACAC